AUUAACAUAACAAUUAAUUAAAAAUCAAAAAUCACCAAAAUCUUAACUUUUCACAGUUGUGGUGAGAUUUCACGCUCGAUUACUUUAUACCGUGCAAUCAUUAAUAUCGAUUAUUUACGGUAUUCAUCGGUUUUUUAUAUAUACGGAGAAGGAGGUUACGUCCGUAGCGUUUUGUUGGGCUCACGGCGACAAUGAGGUGGAUUAUCCUCUUUUCUCUGUGCCUCGCUGUCGUACUAGCUGCACCGGCGCCUGCGCCCGGCCAGCAGAAUUUAGAUGACCAGCCAGAACAGCAAGCGCGGAGACGACUGCAAAGACUUAGUUUAAAAGUUGAAGACCGUGAUGACGAUGACGAAGCACGAGACAGGGAUGAUGAUGAUGACGA